rnacentral:rRNA from 1 species
UACGAAGGGGGCUAGCGUUGCUCGGAAUCACUGGGCGUAAAGCGCGUGUAGGCGGGUCUUUAAGUCAGGGGUGAAAUGCCAGGGCUCAACCUUGGAACUGCCUUUGAUACUGGAGACCUUGAGUCCGGGAGAGGUGAGUGGAAUUGCGAGUGUAGAGGUGAAAUUCGUAGAUAUUCGCAAGAACACCAGUGGCGAAGGCGGCUCACUGGCCCGGAACUGACGCUGAGACGCGAAAGCGUGGGGAGCAAACAGG